rnacentral:rRNA from 1 species
UACAGGAGGGUGCGAGCGUUAAUCGGAAUUACUGGGCGUAAAGCGUGCGUAGACGGCUAUCUAAGUCGGGUGUGAAAGCCCCGGGCUCAACCUGGGAAUUGCAUUCGAGACUGAAUAGCUAGGGUACGGUAGAGGGAAGUGGAAUUUCCGGUGUAGCGGUGAAAUGGCGUAGAGAUCGGGAGGAACGACCGGUGGCGCAAGGGCGGGUCAGCUGGGGCCGAUACUGGACGGCUGAGGAGCGAAAGC